rnacentral:rRNA from 1 species
AUGGUGCCAGUCACCUGUUCGACGGAAUGUCCGACCGAGGUAGUCACCAUCGCCAGAGUUGACGAGGUCCACGCUGCCACCACAACUGUCCGCCUUGAGCCCGCGGUCGAUCUCAUCCACCAGAAGGUCGUGCCGAUCAUGACGGUUCAUGCAACGCCUGCCAUCGGCACCAGCACCACCAAGGUCCUUCCCCCUGUGGCGACCACCACCGACGUUGACUCCAAGGCCGGUGUGCAAGAGCUCGAUGCCCUCACUGUCAACACCACCCCGGUGACGAGUGAGGUGGACCACACCGUCGUCCACAACGUCUCCAGCGACCUUACUGCAUCGACGCUGACAAGGUGUUCGGCGCAAUGCACCUGUCGCCACACAAACCUACGGAGGUAUGUGCUCCACCCAGCAGCGACACCUUCGUGGCUGGUGCUACGACCGCAACCAUGGCCAUCGUUUUGGAGACAUUAUGCAGAUGGAAACGAGAAACGGCCCAUGCCAUGGCCGUCCUUAGCUUUCUCUCAUGAACUGAAUCGGAAGCACGUUGGGCUGCUGUCACAAGUUACAUCUGCGAUGAAUCAUUUUUCUGGUACUCCAGAUUCGCUGAGAAGACCUGGGAAGUAUUUGCAAAGUAUGCAGCUGAGACUACCAUGGCCAUCAUUUUCAAGCAAUUGCCCGGCAGUAUCAGUGUGGUCAGAAUUGCCCGAGUGCAAGCUUCCAGAUGAAUAUUGUACUGCUAUUGACAAUUUUGCUUCACUGGUGACUACCACUAUCCAUGUUGUUUGUUCACUGGAACCUAUUGAGCAUCAGUUUUCAGUUGUUCUUGAGCAGGGGCGUUGGAAGUAUUCUGAGCAUCACAUAAGGGAACAUGCUGCUAUAAGUGCUCUGACUUCUCCGACAGAAUCCCUGAGAUGUCGCCAAGGGGUGCACCUGAAACUACUGUUUUCAUCAUUCUCAAGCAAUUGCCAAGCAGUACAGUUAUGGUCAGAGCUACCGACAGUGGAAUUUCAGUUUUGUGCUCAUGGUCCUACUGAUCCAAAAAUCACGAGAGAAACCUGGUGGUGCUUGCUGAAAAUUACUUAUAAGAUCGGUCAAUUGGGUCACCUAUUCAGACCAAGACAGUGGCGGUCGCUCAAAUAUGAUUCAGUUGCAUGCUAUCUCGAGGAGCCAUCUUCACGUACACAUCACCAACCUCAUGAAGUUUCAGGGUUCAGUGUUGAGCUAGUACCAUUACCAUUCAGCGAUGUGAGUUCUCCUCAAGUUCCUUAUCGUCAGUCGAAUUCUGUGGACGAGUCUUUCUGUUGUUUGCCGGGUGCAAAGCUGCAGUUUGGGCACAAUAAACUACAGAUUAUGAGCAUGUCAGUACAAUGGCACUUUCUGAGCCAAGAGAAAUUAAAGGGGGGUGGUCGUUUUGAUAGUGAAUUCAGACCUGAACAAGUAGUUGAUGUUUCAAAAACAAGAAUUCAGUCCGCCGAGCUAAUCAGCCUGGAGUGUUGCUCCUUCAAGUGUGGACCAAAUUGCAUACCAUUUGUACUCUGGUGGAAAUACAAGUGUCUUCUUCUUUUGGUGGGAGUUCAACACAUGAUUCUAGUUCAUUUGUACUUUUUGCACAAGAUGACCAGUACUGAAGCUUUGGAAAAAGGUGAUUGUCAGCAUCUUAUAUCAACCAAUUGUGUUCCAGCAUAUCUGAAAUCAGAUGAAGUAUGUGUUGCUGCUAUUUGCAAGUUUGAUCAGGGAAAUUCUCAGGAGUGGGCAUUGAUACUUUGUUUCAAUCAGCGACCACUUCUUGUUUGUACAACUCAGGUGCAUUGGAAUCUUUCUGAGACGGGUGCUUGCUGGAUCCCCAUGGUGCCAAGCUAUAUUCCUGUCCCGAGUCAUCCAAUAAAACAAUUUAUUGAUGAUCUGGCCUUGAGUAUUGCAGAACAGCGGCUAGUCAUCUGUUGGGUGCAGUCCUCUUAUGAAUUUCUCGCUCAUGACGCCCAACCGAUGUUUUGUUUCAGUCAAAAAAAUGCCCAGCUGAAGCUACCAGGAUCAUAUUUUUUAUGCACUUGUCAGGCAGUACAGUUGCUCUACCAUUGGGUUCAUGAGCACGUCACUGAGUUGGCUAGUAGUUGUUACUUUGCAAAAUUUUGGCGCACUAGAGAUUCCCAUGAUUUAGUACAUCAGUGGGUAGUUCCUAUAUGUGCCAGUAUACAAGCAGGUGGUAAUAUGUUCAAGUAUAAGUGGAGCGGACAAUAUGAAUGGAGACUGUUGAAGCCUAAUUUCCUGCAAGCUAGUUCUGGUCCCUGUUCUGAUGCAUAUUUCUAUGGGAACCAAUGCACGGUGGUCGUUGAAGUGUUGGUGUAUCUUGUUGGGCAGCUAAGUGACAUGUUUCAUAAGUGGAGAAGCCAGUAUCAUAUAGGGCGAGCAACAAAAUCACUUACAACUAUGGUAUAUGCAUUGGCAUCUCAGUGGCAGGGAGUGGGCUCCUUCUGA